UGCAAAGAUUUUUCAUUUUACCUCGAUCAAUUAUUUGAUAUUAGUGCUUAUUUCUUUCCUAUUUCCUUUUAAUAUCCAUAUUCUGUUUCUUUUUCUCCCAUUUUAUCACACCUAAUUCAAAUUUUUUUAAUUGUGGAUUUCAAUGUUGUGUGCCUUUCAUAAACAUUAGUUGUCGUUAUCAUGAUAAAUCAAAAGAUAAAUUUACAGUUGUAAAUGUGUCAUGGGAGUGGAAGAAUGAUGGAAGAUGGUCAAAAGUGUGAUAUGUUGUGAAGUGGAACUCACUAUCAUGACCAAUGGCACUUUAGUAACUUCAUUCAAAAUUUAGUGGCAUUUUCAUGUUAUGAUUCAAUAAAAACCCGGUGCUCUCUUCUUAGAAUCACUCAAUUCCAACUUACUCAAAUAUCACUCUCUUCUUUCUCUCUCUAGAUUCAUCCAAUUUAUUUUUUUUGCAGAAACUUAAAGUGGUAAUAGUUCUAUUCCUCUCAAUGAUCCAAGCUACUUUGUCUUAUACAAAUUAUGCUUCAUUGAGAGAGAUGCUUUUUUUCCUUUUCAAACUACUAUGAUUUCCUUGAUUAAAUGAGGUGAAAGGGUCUAUCCAUACCAUGAGAGGGCGGGAAGUCUAUCAAUUGGAUGUUAAGGGUCAUCGAGAGUAUCGUUCGCCAUAAGACUGCCCCUUGCCAUAAAGAGGCAGGUAGUCUAAGGGAAGGAUAUAAUAGUCAUUUUAUCUUUUUUGGCAUCAUGCGAGGAGACCUUAGCAAUUGGGACAAUUAUUCUUUAUAAGGCAACCUCGAGGGAGUUUCAACAACUUUGAAGGCAACGUUUGCUUUAGGUAUCGUCGGAAUCGAGGGACUUGACUAUUUUAGGCAACAAAAUUAAUAAGGCAACAAGGCAACAGCAAUAAGGCAACAAGGCAACCAGAGGGAUUACCCUAAAGGUGUGUGGGUGCAACAAUCACGUGGUUAACUUCGAUGACAUUUAUCUUGUAGUUAGGUGAUCUAUGUUCAGUUCAUGGUUUGCACUCCCUAAAUUAUUAACCACGCAAUUAAAACAAAAUAAAAGCAGAAAUAAAAUUUCCUACGUUAUUACAAUAAACACCUGCGGGGAUGGGGGAAAUUAAAAGACAGAGAAUAAGAGGGAUCAAUAAUUAGUCUAAUUAUCUUGAAUGCCUCGAUCUUCCUCGAACCCUCGAUCGACCCUGAAAAUUAAAAGAAAAAAAUAAUAGGGGUGAGUGUAUUGACUAUUCGAAGCAAACCCUAUUUUGGGCAAAAGGCAAAAAGUAAAAUAAUAUUUAAAUAAAAUAAAAUAAGGAUUGGAAACUUAGCUCUGAUGGUGCGUAGUCGGAGGAUCUUGGCUAACCCUGAAAAUGAAAAAGAGAAAGGUAGAAAACUUUUUGUGGCAAAUACAAGACAUUGAUAAUAAGUAAAAGAGGAAUUAAAAAUAAAAGAUAAAUAUAUAAAAAAAAUAGAAAACUUAGCUUUUGGUAGGGUGAAGCGCGCGGCUGAAGAACUUGAAAUAACCCUGAAAAUUUGCGCGAAGAAGAGAAUUUGUUUUAGUGUAUGAGUGAUCCCAAUAGUAAUAAUUUAGGCAAAAAUGGCAAGGCAAACCCCAAAAGGGACAGAAAUUAACUAAGGUUAACGGACAACACCUACCAAUAACAAUGAUUAGUUAUCAUGCUAAAAUCAGGGUUUGAGGCAAAAUUAAAAUUGUAUUAUUACCCAAAAAUAAUUAUUAGUUUAAAAAACAAUUAUUAUUUUUAAUGUUAUAAGAAAAAUCGAAUUUUCGAUUAAAAAAAUAUAUAAUUAUCAAAACACUAUUAUUUGGUAAAUAAAAUAUUUUUAAGGAAAAUAAAGAAUAAUCAAUAAAAGGAAAAGAAAACAAUUAAAAACCGAGAAUUAUGUAAUUAAAAGAAUAUUAGAAAAGAAAACGUAGCUCUGAUCAUGUGUGAUGAGGCUGGAGAUCAUGGUAUACACCCUCAAUUCUGGGACGCUGGAUCUAGAGUGCUGAUGAUCUACUAAUAUGCUCCGAUGCCGGAGCCGCCUCAUUAACGCCGCGAAUAGCCCGAUCGCUCCGAUGCGACCUGCCUAAGUGCUCAAGUGUCGUCUACAAGCCGCCACUAGCGCCUCUACGCCCACGCCCCCGGACCCGGAGUCGGAAUCGGAGUCGGAGCCGGAGCCGGUGUUGCCGGUGGCGACACCGGCGAGUGGUUAUAAGAUUGGGACAAGUGGCAAUAAUGCUUGGGACCACUACAUUUGUCAAUGUGGCACUUUAUCCUCUUUUGUCCUUUUGUUGAGUUAAUGUCAUUAAUUCUUUUAUAAGGACUUUGAAAAUGAGUGAAUCUUCCAAUGUGGAACUUUAUUACAUGCAUUUAUUAGCAUUUACUCAUUUUCACCAUUUGUCAUUUUAGAACACCCUUGUAAUUAUUAUACCAUUUAAUAAUUACAACAUUAAAUUCUCUGCAGGCCUUAUCAAAAGAUCCAGGCCCAUUACACGCCUGUUGGCCCAAAACUUCUACUCCAGCAGCUAACCCAUUAGACACUCCACAUACUUCCGGACCACUUGAUUUAAUAGGGCCCACAACAGGAAAAACAAGUCCUUCUGAAUCCCCCACAAAACUAUCAUCAUCCCCUAUCUCAUCUACAUUAAUUGCUCUAGACAAAACUGCCUCGGGUGUCACGCAAGCACCUCUACUAAUACAGUCAAAAAACACCUUUUUCCCACAAGGCUUAGACUGUUGCCUUUUUAAUGAAAAAGGGCUGCUAACACCUGUCAACCUCUCAGCAGCAGAAGCAAUAGCCUCACACAUCCCAUCACCGCUUCCAUCUAUUUUCAGUUCGUUCUCCUCCUCGUACUCCUCACCGCCCUCCUCCGCCACAUCUGUAUCCUCCUCCGACUGGGAAGAACAAACAGACACGAAAUCAUCCCUUUCCCUUGAAAAUAACUUCUUGAAGCACGAUAAAUCACAUUCUUCCAUAAUGGAGAUUGGAAAGACCUUAUCAUCUAUCUUCACAUUCACACACUCUUCCACCAUACCAAGGCAACAGGUCCUAAUACAGAUGCGGGCGACAUCCAUUCUGGACUUAAGAUUCGUGCCUUCAUCACACUUGAGAAAACUCCCAACUAACUCUGCUAACAUCUUGAAGAAACUCUCCUCCCAUACAUGACAGGGGACACCAAUAAUUUUGAUCCACGCUACUCUCUCCUUGUCAACGUCUAACAGAUUCCACUGUUUAAUGGCGUUGAACCAUGCCUCCCACCAAUCUUUCCUCUCCUCAAUGAACCGGACAAUCUCAUGGGCGAAUAAGAGAAGAACAAAGUCUUAGGUACUUCUAUGGUUGUUCUACUAGGAGAUUUGUUUUGAAGAACAUCGGCGAAUGAUCUAUACUUCCUACCACCGUCCGCCAUAUUACCACCCCAUGGGUUCUUCUUUGCUCCCUCCGAAACACCCUUAGAUGCCCCACAAAACUUCGGAUCAGGACCAAACUUCUUAGGGUUAGGUCUGACAAAUCUCGGCAGGUUAACGUGUAGUUUCCGACCAUCAAGAAAAAUGUUGUCCAACUUGACUUCUAGAGAUUUCUCAUCCGGCACAUUAGAAAAUCGCACAAAACCAUACCUCUACCAUACUUAUCUGUCUUAGGAGGUAUCACGAACUCCACAAUGUCUCCAUGUUCUUUGAACUAGUAAUACAAGUCAUUCGCUCUCCAUCUUGCUCCGAACUCAGACACAAAGAAAGACGAGACAGCGACACCCUCCCUCACCUCAAACUUCCCACUUAGGUUGCGACUUCCUGCUAUAAUCUACCUUUCUCCAAACACCUUUACCACCUUCACCCAUGGUAGCCAUACAAGCUAACGCAAAAGAACGAAGAAGUUAGAGAGAAGGGAGAGAACCUCUUUCUAACAUGAUGUUUGUAUUAUAAGUGAGUCGUGAUUCAUUGUUCUCAUUUCUCAUAAUAACCAAGUGUUCUCAUUAAAUUUUGAUUUUGUUGAUUUUAAUGAACUGGAUUGAUUUCUCUUUCUAUGUUGAUUUAAAAUAAAUAUUAAGGAUCAUAGAAAGAGAAACCAAUCUAGUGCAUUAAAAUCAACAAAAUCAAAAUUUAAUGGUCGUGAUUCAUUGUUGUCGUUUCUAAUAAUAACCAGUGUUCUCACUUGAGUAUAUAUAUAUAUAUAUAUAUAUAUAUAUAUAUAUAUAUAUAUAUAUAUAUAUAUAUAUAUGAGUGUAUCCUGUGAGAACUGAUAUCUAUUGUGAGUAACGAAAAGUUUCAGUAUCAAUCGUCUGAGUUAAUUGACACCUAAGAUUUAAAACUUCCAUAUCAAGAACAACUUACUGAAUAAUUUCUAUUAUGCUUAACAUUUAAAUAUUCUAUAAAAAGAAAUUCUUACUAUAAAUAUUUUUAUUUUUUGAUUAAAUUAUUAUUAAAAUACAUUUUAUAAACAUACUUAAUAUUUAAUAUUUCGUUAGAAUAUUAUAAGUACAAAAUACAACUCAAAUGUAUUCAAUUUUUUUAUUUAAAAUUAAAUUUUUUUAAAUUUUAGAUAUUUUUCAUACUAAAAGAAAAAUUCAGAAAUAAAAAAUCAGGAUAAUAGUAGAAAAAAUUUUGUUUUGUUUUUAUUUUUAAUAUUAGGAAGAUAAGUAAAUAGGUUAAUAAUUGUGAUGAUUAAUUUGUUAUUAAAAUAUUUAAAGUGUUGUUUGAUUUCAAAAGUAAUUUUAGAAAAAUUUAUUCAACAAAAUAAAUUGUGGAAAUAUAUACUUUGAUAUAUAAAAUUCAAAAUACAACGAGAAAAUAAUUUUUUUUUUAAAAUUAAUUUUCUCAGAGUUAAAAUGUUUAAAUAAAAUCAAAUGCUAUAAUUUUUUAAAAAUAUAUGUUUUUACUAGUAAAUAAUUUAUGCUACUAACUAUUUUAAAUUAAUAUAAUAUUGACCUUUUAAAAAAUAAUAAUACUAUUUUCUGAUUUUUAAUUUUUUGAAUUCAUCUUUUAAUAUUGAAAAAUAUUUAAAAUUUAAAAA